rnacentral:rRNA from 1 species
UUUAUGGGUUAAGGCCCCCUACAGACUAUGGGGUUGAUAGGCCGGAGGUGUACAGCAGUGAUGCCCAGCCGACCGGUACUAAUAGGCCGAGGGCUUAUCUUUC